rnacentral:rRNA from 1 species
UACGUAGGGUGCGAGCGUUAAUCGGAAUUACUGGGCGUAAAGCGUGCGCAGGCGGUUCGUUAAGUCAGAUGUGAAAGCCCCGGGCUCAACCUGGGAACUGCAUUUGAAACUGGCGGGCUUGAGUGUGGCAGAGGGGGGUGGAAUUCCGCGUGUAGCAGUGAAAUGCGUAGAGAUGCGGAGGAACGCCGAUGGCGAAGGCAGCCCCCUGGGCCAACACUGACGCUCAGGCACGAAAGCGUGGGGAGCAAACAGG